rnacentral:tRNA from 1 species
GGAGGAGUGCCAGAGUGGUCGAAUGGGCCUGUCUCGAAAACAGGUAGGUGCCUCAUGGUGCCUCAGAGGUUCAAAUCCUCUCUCCUCCGCCA